GACGAACGCUGGCGGCGUGCUUAAUACAUGCAAGUCGAACGGACAGGCCCUGCUUUUGUGGGGUGCACGAGUGGCGAACGGGUGAGUAAAACGUGAGUAAACUGCACCUGACUUUGGGAUAACAUCAGGAAACUGGGGAUAUUACCGGAUAGGAGCUCCUGCUGCAUGGUGGGGGUUGGAAAGAUUCGGCUGUUGGGGAUGGACUAGAGGCUUAUCCGCUUGUUGGUCGGGUAGUGACUUACCAAGGGUAUGAAGGGUAGCCGGCCUUGGAGGUGGACCGGCCACAUUGGUACUGCGAGACGGCCCAGUCGCCUACGUGACGCAGCGGUGGGGAAUAUUGCACAGUGGGCGGAAGCGUGAGGCAGCAACGCCGCGUUCGUGAUGACGUCUUUCGGGUUGUAAACCGCUUUCGCCUGUGACGAAGCGUUAUUGACGGUAAUGAGUAAAGAAGCACCGGCUAACUACGUG
rnacentral:rRNA from 1 species